ensembl:lncRNA
CGCGCAGCCACCGCCCUUCCGCUGAGCCACGGGAGCGGCCUCGGAGGCACCGCGUGGGCAUCGCUGCCCCAUAAGUACUGCCCCAUAUGGACUGCUGCCCCAUAACUACUGCUCCAUAAGGACUGCCCCAUAAGGACUGCUGCCCUAUAACUACUGCUGCCCCAUAAGGGCUGCUGCCCCAUAAGUACUGCUCCAUAAGUGCUGCCCCAUAUGGACUGCUGCCCCAUAAGGACUGCCCUAUAUGGACUGCUGCCCCAUAACUACUGCUGCCUCAUAACUACUGCCCCAUAAGUACUGCCCCAUAAGUACUGCCCCAUAAGGACUGCUGCCCCAUAACUACUGCUGGCCCAUAAGUACUGCCCCAUAACUACUGCCCUAUAAGGACUGCCCCAUAAGGACUGCUGCCCCAUAAGGACUGCUGCCCCAGAAGUGCCGCCCCAUAACUACUGCUGCCCCAUAAGUACUUCUGCCCCAUAAGGACUGCUGCCCUAUAACUACUGCUGCCCCAUAAGUACUGCCACCCCACAAGUACUGCUCCAUAAGUGCUGCCCAUAAGGACUGCUGCCCCAUAACUACUGCCCCAUAAGUACUUCUGCCCCAUAAGGACUGCUGCCCCAUAAGUACUGCCCCGUAAGUACUGCUGCCCCAUAAGUACUGCUCCAUAUGGACUGCUGCCCCAUAAUUACUGCUGCCCCAGAACUACUGCUGCCCCAUAUGGACUGCCCCAUAAGGACUGCUGCCCCAGAAGUACUGCCCCAUAACUACUGCCCUAUAAGCACUGCCCCAUAAGGACUGCUGCCCCAUAAGGACUGCCCUAUAAGCACUGCCCCAUAUGGACUGCUGCCCCAUAAGUACUGCUGCCCCAUAAGUACUGCCCCAUAAGUACUGCUGCCCCAUAACUACUGCUGCCCCAUAACUACUGCCCUAUAAGCACUGCCCCAUAUGGACUACCGCCCCAUAAGUACUGCCCAUAAGGACUGCUGCCCCAUAAGUACUGCUGCCCCAUAAGCACUGCCCCAUAACUACUGCUGCCCCAUAACUACUGCCCUAUAAGCACUGCCCCAUAUGGACUGCCGCCCCAUAAGUACUGCCCCAUAAGGACUGCUGCCCCAUAAGUACUGCUGCCCCAUAAGCACUGCCCCAUAAGGACUGCUGCCCCAUAAGUACUGCCCCAUAACUACUGCCCUAUAAGCACUGCCCCAUAUGGACUGCUGCCCCGUAAGUAAUGCCCCAUAAGUACUGUUGCCCCAUAAGUACUGCUGCCCCAUAAGGACUGCUGCCCCAUAAGUACUGCCCCAUAUGGACUGCUGCCCCAUAAGUACUGCUCCAUAAGUGCUGCCCCAUAAGUACUGCUGCUCCAUAAGUACUGCCCCAUAAGUACUGCUGCUCCAUAAGUACUGCCCCAUAUGGACUGCUGCCCCAUAAGGACUGCUGCCCCAUAAGUACUGCUGCCCCAGAAGUGCCGCCCCAUAAGUACUGCUGCCCCAUAAGUACUGCCCCAUAAGUACUGUGGCCCCAUAAGUGCCACCCCAUCAAUACCACCCCAUAAGUGCCAACCCAUAAGUGGUGCCCCAUAAGUGCUGCCCCAUAAGUACCGCCCCAUCAGUGCUGCCCCAUAAGUGCAGCCCCGUAAGUACCGCCCCAUCAGUGCUGCCUCAUAAGUGCAGCCCCAUAAGUGCCGCCCCAUAAGUACCCCCCCAUAGCACAGCCCCAUAAGUGCCCCCCAUAGCACAGACCCCAUAAUGCCCCCCAUAGCACAGCCCUAUCAGUACCCUCCCCAUAGCACAGCCCCAUAAUACACCCCCCACAGCACAGCCCCAUAAGUGCCCCCCAUAGAACAGCCCCAUAAGUACCCCCCCCAUAGCACAGCCCCAUAAGUACCGCCCCAUAUCACAGCCCCAUAAGUACCCCCC